GCAAUAGUCAGUCAGUCAACGAAAGAUCUCGUAGCAUAAACAUCUAAAAUAUAUCCAAGAAAUAUUUCCUAAAAAAAAAAUAUAUAUUUUUAAAAUGGUCAUCAAUACAAUGGAUCCACACCAAGGAAAACCAGUCAGGAAUUAUUUGAUCUUAACUGCGGCGCUGCUAGCACUUGUGUCUUUGAUGAUCUAUUUCCAAAAUGCUGUAUUCAUCACACAUCGUGAGACCUCAGGAUUCUGGAAGGUGGUAAAGAUGAUUACUGACUAUUUAGGGGUGCCUGGAAAGCCCAAAGUUGUGCCCAGCUAUUAUCAAAGAAUGUUGAACUACGUGAUGUGCUAAUUAUCGUUGGUAAUCAGUCGGAUCGUUACUUUCAAUGCAAAAAAGUUCGUAAAAUUGAAAAUUUCAAGAUUCAGAAACCCAAACGAUAUGUUACGAACCACGGGAUCCGAAAGCUGUGAUUUUUACUUUAAUACAAUGUGAUACUUCUGAAGACCUGAAAAAUCAGUUGGAUCCUCAGUUGGAUGCACAGUAUACCUCAACACCAAGACGCAGACACCACUUCUGGAAGCCAAGAACCCUCAUCUAUAUUUUAAUACAAUCUUAAACCAUCUGAAGUCCUAAGAAAUUAUUUGGAUCUUCGUCAAUAUCACAUAAAACAGGGAUAUUAACUAAUACACAAAGUGGAGCGGAUAAUCUUCGUCUAUAUGCUGGAAGAAUCUGGAACCCUAAUCAUCCAAAGAAACACUGGCAACUCUACCACUAUCACAUGCAAAUGUUAUCGUCGCCUGGCAACCUUUUAAUCUGUUCACCGCCCAUAAAAGUCAAUUUUGAAAUUGUUAUUUAAUAAAUGAUUUAUGCAAUUCAUUUA